rnacentral:miRNA from 1 species
CUGUCCCUUUAAGAGACUUAUGACGGGGCUGGAGAGAUGGCUCAGAGGGUAAGAGCACUGGCUGCUCUUCCAGAGGUCCUGAGUUCAAUUCCCAGCAACCACA